CUUUUCGGGUUCUCCUCAAGGCUUUAAAACGUCUCCUAGGGAAAGGUUUUCACACCCUUAAUAAAGGGUAUUCCGUUCUAGGGGAGGUUUCCACACCCUUAUAAAGAAUGUUUUGUUCUCCUCUCCAAAUAUGUGUAACGGCCCAACCUCCCCCUAGCAAAUGCAUUUAAAAACCUUGAGAGGAAGCCCGAAAGGGAAAGUCCAAAGAGGACAAUAUCUACUAGCGGUGGGCUUGGGUUGUUACAAAAAAUCAUGAAAUAAAACAAAGUCAAACAUGCACAAACUCGAUUCUGUAUAGGGCAUGCACUCAUAGUAGAUCCUAGGUUAAGGAGUGUCGUUGCAACUAAACCGCUGGCAUGUUUACAGAAACGCUAGGGUUUCUAAAGAUGUGAUAGUGAGAAUUGAUCUUCCCACUUGCCAUCACACAAGCAACAAUAAAACCCAAACGAACAUGUCACUGAUCCAUUAUCCAACCAAGGGUGCAACUAAUGAACAACGAAACCAGAACACUGAACAAAAGACAUGCCAAUGACAACUCCAAAGAGUCAAGAAGCACAGUGCACACCCAACUCAAGUCUCUAGUGUAAGGCAUCAGAGUAUGACAAAAUCACAAUUACAGUAACCAUAGAACAUGAACACCAAACAAUCUUUAAUAUACAUUUGUGACUCGGAAGAGCUGAGACUAUUAGGACUAUUAGGACACCAGCAUACGCCAAAACAGCAAUAGUAGUUACUCGAAAGACUCGGCACCAAUCAAUCAUAAUUCUUUCACCAUUACAAUUUAAGAUCCUUAAGGAUGAGAGUUACACGUCUGAAUUUCUUACAAAGUCAUAAUAUCAUUUGAAAAGUCAAUUUCGACCCAAAUAUACAGCAAACAUUUUCAAACUGAACACACCCAUGUGUUGAAAAAGAUAGUGCAUACAUACAACAUGCAUAGUGAAUUAAAAAAAUAAAUGAAACCUGUGAGACUACU